UACUAGAGUAGCACUCGCAUAUCAAUAAGCGGAGGAAAAGAAACUAACAAGGAUUCCCCUAGUAACGGCGAGUGAAGCGGGAAGAGCUCAAAUUUGAAAUCUUAAAGGGUUUCCCUUUACGAAUUGUAGUUUAAAGAAGUGUUUUCUGUUGAGGUUUUGGUAAAAGUUCUUUGGAAUAGGACAUCAUAGAGGGUGAGAAUCCCGUAUUUGACCUUUACUUUCAACUUUGUGAUACACUUUCAAAGAGUCGGAUUGUUUGGGAAUGCAGUCCAAAAUGGGUGGUAAAUUUCAUCUAAAGCUAAAUAUUGGCGAGAGACCGAUAGCGAACAAGUACCGUGAGGGAAAGAUGAAAAGAACUUUGAAAAGAGAGUUAAACAGUACGUGAAAUUGUCAGAAGGGAAGCGUUUGACACCAGUGUUGUUUUUCUGAAAAUCAAUUAAAGAACUGUUUAUGCUAAGCUGUUUAGACUUUAUCAGCUAUCUGUUUAGUUUUGAGCUUUUCUUUAAUGCACUUUUCAGUUAACAAGUCAACAUCAAUUUCUUUUGCUGUAAAAAAGCUUGAGGAAGGUGGCUUGAGAUUCGUCUUAAGUGUUCAUAGCCUCUUGCCUAUGCAGUCGGAGAGAUUGAGGUCCGCAGCGUAGAUCCUUCGGGGCUAAAUGCAUUUGUGCUAAGUUAUAGCAUUUUAUAGACAACUUGUUGACUAUGACUUGUCUUGUAGCUUACUCGCUUAUGUUAUUUUACCUACGCUUAGGAUGUUGAGUCAUCACACAUCUCU
rnacentral:rRNA from 1 species